CCCCACAUCACCUGGGUACAGUCCCACAUCUCCCGGCUACAGUCCCACAUCACCAGGUUACAGUCCGACCUCUCCCACAUAUAGCCCUAGUUCUCCAGGAUAUAGUCCUACAAGUCCGGCUUAUUCACCAACCAGUCCAUCCUACUCUCCCACAUCACCCAGCUAUAGCCCAACAUCACCCAGCUACAGUCCUACAUCACCCAGCUACAGCCCCACAUCACCCAGUUAUAGCCCGACUUCUCCCAGCUACAGCCCGACUUCACCUGCAUACAGCCCAACUUCACCUGCCUAUAGCCCCACUUCACCUGCUUACAGUCCCACUUCACCUUCAUACAGUCCUACGUCACCUUCAUACAGCCCCACUUCACCCUCUUACAGCCCUACCUCCCCAUCAUAUAGCCCUGCUUCCCCUGCUUACAGCCCCACUUCACCUGGAUACAGCCCUAC
rnacentral:lncRNA from 1 species